AUUGAACGCUGGCGGCAUGCUUUACACAUGCAAGUCGAACGGUAACAGGCCGCAAGGUGCUGACGAGUGGCGAACGGGUGAGUAAUGCAUCGGAACGUGCCCAGUCGUGGGGGAUAACGCAGCGAAAGCUGUGCUAAUACCGCAUACGAUCUAUGGAUGAAAGCGGGGGACCGUAAGGCCUCGCGCGAUUGGAGCGGCCGAUGUCAGAUUAGCUAGUUGGUGGGGUAAAGGCCCACCAAGGGGACGAUCUGUAGCUGGUCUGAGAGGACGACCAGCCACACUGGGACUGAGACACGGCCCAGACUCCUACGGGAGGCAGCAGUGGGGAAUUUUGGACAAGGGGCGCAAGCCUGAUCCAGCAAUGCCGCGUGCAGGAAGAAGGCCUUCGGGUUGUAAACUGCUUUUGUACGGAACGAAACGGUCUGGGUUAAUACCCUGGGCUAAUGACGGUACCGUAAGAAUAAGCACCGGCUAACUACGUGCCAGCAGCCGCCGUAACAC
rnacentral:rRNA from 1 species